GAUGAAGGAAGUACUUCUUGAACUUCUUUGCAUGUUGGAUAUUAGAUUGGCUAUAAAUGACAUGACACCAUUAUAUAGGUAACAGCUGACUUAUAGCCAUGCUAUACGGUAAAAAAUGCCCAUACACGUCAAAUCUCAUAUCAAUGGUGCAAUUUACUCGUAUCUGCUUACUUUUCGAACAAGGAGAAAAUAAAAGAUGGAUUAGUAGCAUUUAGCAAGGUAGUCAUCACAUCCAAACCAACCGAAUAAUUAAUCAAAAUGUGAAGUUUACAAACAAGGGGUAGAAAAAUGUGAUAGGGCCCAAAACAUGGAGGCUAGUAGCAUUUCGGUAACAAGGCACAAUUGAUCAGUUCCAACACGCGUGAGGAUGGAACCUUGGUCUCAGAAGCAGGCGUCCAAGAGACAACAGCAGCAAAGCGCGGCCAGGCUGUUGGAACAAUAUCGUAAGAGAAUCAUGAGAUAUAAUCAAGGCGAAUUUCUCAACAAACAAAGAAAAACAAGAAAAUUAGUACUAAACAUGAUAUAAUUGCAUGUUAAUAUAGAUAUGAUAUAAUUAAUUGGUUAAUGAUGAUGUUUAUAUUAGGCAUGAUAUUAAUUAUUGAAGGGUGCUAACCGUGUUUAGUGCUAAACAUGUUUAACACUGAACACCGGAGUGACUUAUACCAUUGGAUAGAUGCGGUUGAACGCGUAUGAUUUGUUGGACCUCCGUAACUCGCUUGGAAUACAAGAUAUAUAGAAUAUAGAAAUAGACAUAGAGAAAACCAUUUAUUGCCACAAAUUGCAAGUUUCCACUAAGGGCAUCUACAAUGGUAGACGCCUAACUAGGCGCUUAUAGAAGAAAAAAUAAAUGUUAUGAAAUUAAAAAACACCUAAGCGAUUUACCUCUCAACGCAAGGCGCUAACAGCCGGCGCUAAUUGAGCGGUAAUUAAACAGGGUAAUUAAACAGUGCAUGCGCCUCUUGCGGGAGAGAAAAGGACUAGGAGUCCGAUGCCUGCCUUUGCGCUGAUGCAGCGCCCGACGCCGGGAUUUGUGCGCCUAAUUGCCGAGCGACGGGAAAAUUGCCAGGAAAUUGAUCCUAACGUCUUCCUAAGGCCUUGUACAAUAGGAGAUGUUUAGAAAAAUAAACCCGAUUUUUCUUAAGCAUCGGUACUUAUUUGUACAGGAUAGACGCUUAACUAAGCGUCUCUUGUAGAAAUAGACAUCGAUGCUUUAAAAAAACUCAAUUAAUUUUUUUAAAGCCUCUCUCUAGGCACCUUCCAUUGUACAAGGCCUAAGCGCCUAGCCGUUGUAGAUGCCCUAAUUAUAGUACUCGGUAUGGGUAUGUACGGCAGACGACACGGGUGCCGGCGGGCGCCGAGCACCGUGUACAAAACACCGGAUAUUCGUCAAGUGGGGAGAGGUCGGCAUAUUCCAAGCAAUGUGUAGAGAACCAAUUAUCGUAACACCAACACAUGGUCGCAUGUGAAAUGCUGAAUUUUAUACUGCUCGAGAACACUUGACAGCAAAUGAAUUUGGACGAUUUCCAGCUUUUGCAUCUUGUCCGUCCGCCGGAGAAGAUAUCAUCAUGAAGAUCAUUGAUCGUCACGAUAUCUAUGCCGAUAUCUUCUCGUUUAUGGAAGCUACGGCUCUUGAUCUCAUCAAUGAAAUCUCGGGGUAUAUAUGAAUAUCAGAUACGAAUAGGUAGGAUUCGUACGUCCCGUUUGACCGAGGUUGGUCAUAGGCGCGCCCUUUGCCCUUAAUCUGCGGUUGACACGUCGUGGAGGUCUCGCCGUUUCCACGGUGCAGUAGCUCGCGCGUCAAGUCGCCGUCCCUACCCAUGGAAACGUGCGCGCAACGAAGCCUAGCUAGCUAACUCUGCCGGCGGCGACCCGGGCUGAUAUGAGCCCAGUUCCUAACUCUUUGAACCACUAGUUUGGAUCGAAAUUAAGAGAGAGGAAGUGGCGUACGUACCAUCCUUGCAUGAAGGAAGGCCCGCUGUUCUGCUGCUGCUGCUGCUGGGGCGGGUAGCCCUGUUGAGGCGGGUAGCCCUGCUGCUGCUGGCCGUAUCCGGCCGGCGGGUAGCCCUGCUGUGGCGGCGGGUAACCGGCCGGAGGGUACCCCUGCGGCGGGUAACCUGGAGAAUUGAAGGUCCAGGCAGCACGCAAGGUCAAUUCUGUUCAGCCGUCGGACAAAAGGUAGAAGGAGAAGUUGAUGGAAGGACGGAGGCUGUCAUACCUUGCUGCGGCGGGGCGCCGACUGGCGCCUGCUGCUGGCCGUAGUAGCUCAUCUCCUUCCGGCCGGGGGUUUCUACUUUCUGGUCGGUCUCUCGCGCUGGCGCUGUGCAGUGCAGUUCUACGGCUUGUGUUGGGCCGAGUGGUUUUAUAAAACGCGCCGGGAACGUGACUGACCUGGCUGGUGGGGCCGUCUCCACAUGUACGUAGCCUCGCCUCGG
rnacentral:lncRNA from 1 species